rnacentral:rRNA from 1 species
UACGUAGGGUGCUAGCGUUGCCCGGAUUUAUUGGGCGUAAAGGGCGCGUAGGCGGCUCUGCACGUCCGUUGUGAAAUCGCCCGGCUCAACUGGGCGGGGUCAGCGGAUACGGCGGAGCUUGAGCAAGCUAGGGGGCAAUGGAAUUCCCGGUGUAGUGGUUGAAUGCGUAGAUAUCGGGAGGAACACCUGUGGCGAAAGCGGCUCACUGGACCAUAACUGACGCUGAUGCACGAAAGCUGGGGGAGCAAACAGG